GUGUUGGUGAAGCAUGGAGCAAAAAGGGGGCCCCAUGAAAAAGGAGGUCAAAGACACAGAAGAGCAUUUCAGAGUGGAGUGGAAGAAAGAGCAAGUUAGACGGAGGAUGAGGAGAGAGUAAAAGGAGAUCCACAGCGAGGAGGAAGGCCUUCUCAAAGCGCUGGUGUCUGCGGACAGAGAGGAGAUACAGACAAAUAGAUCACUGGUACACAUUUCUACCAUUGCUCCAGCCUCAGCAGGUAGUUGGUGAUGGAGCUCAGGCCUCGGUGGCAUUCGUCUCCCAUGAUGCUCCAGUCCAUGGACUCCAGGAU